AACGAACGCUGGCGGCAGGCUUAACACAUGCAAGUCGAACGCCCCGCAAGGGGAGUGGCAGACGGGUGAGUAACGCGUGGGAAUCUACCCAACUCUACGGAAUAACUCAGGGAAACUUGUGCUAAUACCGUAUACGCCCUUCGGGGGAAAGAUUUAUCGGAGUUGGAUGAGCCCGCGUUGGAUUAGCUAGUUGGUGGGGUAAAGGCCUACCAAGGCGACGAUCCAUAGCUGGUCUGAGAGGAUGAUCAGCCACAUUGGGACUGAGACACGGCCCAAACUCCUACGGGAGGCAGCAGUGGGGAAUAUUGGACAAUGGGCGCAAGCCUGAUCCAGCCAUGCCGCGUGAGUGAUGAAGGCCCUAGGGUUGUAAAGCUCUUUCACCAGUGAAGAUAAUGACGGUAACCAGAGAAGAAGCCCCGGCUAACUUCGUGCCAGCCGCCGCUGUAACAC
rnacentral:rRNA from 1 species